rnacentral:misc_RNA from 1 species
UUUCAACACUAGUAUUUAUUCUUCUCCUACCUACUCUCUCCCAAAAAGGCUGAAAAAGAAAAACCAUGAGUAGCUAUAUAUAUAGCUAGUGAAGUAAAAAUGAAGAUGAGCAGAGCAACCGUGGAAGACUCCAAGAAAAAGAUGUCAUGUAGAAGGCUUGGAGGCUACCUUAGAGAACAGAAAGGAAGGCUCUACAUUAUCAGGAGGUGCAUAGUCAUACUUAUCUGCUGGCAUGACUAGUUAAUCCAAGAUCUUUUGGAGCUAUACAUAUCAAUUCCUAUAUAUAUCAUCAUCUCAUCACCAUCCAUAUCCAUGAAGUUGAAGCAAAGUAUUAAUGCAUAUCAUUUCUGGAAGCUUGCGUGGAACCAUCAGCAAGCGAAGCUCUCCACUUCUUCAAUAUUCUUAAAAUCUAUAUAUGUUUCGUUUACUCGAAAUAUGUAAAUAGAAAAGAGAAAUGCUAGCUAGCUAGCUAAAUAAUUGAUUUUAUAUUAAGCUUGUUUUCUUACAUUGAAGUGCUUCAAAUUAAAUGGUUUAGAAAAGCAAGUUUCUAAAAUUAAUUUCUUUUCUGUAUAUUUCAUCAUGAGUUGUUGAGUGCAUUACUGUUGGAU